GUGUAUGAGGACACCCAAAGAAACUGAAGAGAGCAAGGGUUAAAACAUUGGCAUAUAGCAAUAGAUAACUGAGUAUGUGGCAGACAGCAACCAGACUUGUAAACCUGGGAUGUGUUGCCAUCAGAAUGCAUCUCUGUUUGUGUAGAUGGAAACAAGAGGGUGGCAACAUCACACGUACCACUCCUGCUCCUGUCACCCAACUAGAAGUCAAGUAACAGCCAGGAAGGUAACCAAAACAAGAAAAUAAAGGCAAUGGACAGCAGCUGUGUGUAAUGGCAGACAAUGGCAGACUAAUGGCAGACAAGAUAAACAAGGUUCAGAGUUGAAAGCUCAUUCCAUGGUAACUGCAGAGUCCUAAUGGGCACGUCAGAUCUAUUGGGGAAAAAAAGAAAAAGAAAAAAAAAAAGGUCUUUUGUCUUUUUCUCCUGAGAGAUGUGUUCAGGACUUGGAAGGAGAAGUCACGAUUCUUGGUGUUGCUCACUACUGAUCCUGGCCAGCUUGCCUGUUGCAAGCCAAGUACAAAGCAAACAAGAAGGGAAAUGUUGAACAUAAAAUCUGGAAGUUGCUUUUGUCCAGAAAUGUUGAUAUAAUCAGAUUGAGAGUGACAGCUGGAAGCCCUGAAGAACAGUCCGGGUUACAGUCUGGCUGGAGAUCCAGGCCUUCAGGUGCGAGCAGAAAGGAAACAAGUCCACCAUCAGGACUCACCAAGAGAUCAGCCACAGAGCAGCUGCAGAGGAAAACGUGGGCUGCAGGAGAGAAGACUUGGGAAGAGGAAGCUGGUCUCCAUGUCUGUAAAUGGAUUGUCAGUGCUACCCCUGUAAUUAAUUUAAGUCCUCACAAGAAGGAGAGGUAUUUUGCUAUUUAUGUUUGUUUCUCUUUUCCACUAAGAAGGGAUGAUGUAGGUUACCACCACUCUUUCAGUCUAAAUGUCACUUCACAGCCUGAAAUAAUACGUCUCUUUUGUUACUGCCUUGUGGGAUCCAAUGACUUCAGGGAUACCUGUGGCUCAUCCUGCACCAUCCACCCCUCUUAAUUUCAAAACUGGAGACAGCUUUAGCAAGUAAGAGAAAAUUGGAAUGGAGCAUGGCUGGAAUCUGAUGUCCAUACAGAUACUGAAAGAAGCUCCCAUUUAAAUAUUUGGUGACCAGCUGCCUGCAUUGUGAGGCCAGAAGCCCAUUUUGCUGGGCUACACAAGCAACAGAGCAGCCAGAUGUCUGUCUGAGAGGCCAGCCAGAGGCAGAGGACCACAUGGAGGGGCAGGGGUGAUGGGGGCAAUCAGGAGGGAGAGGCAGGGCAGUUAAGGGUCUUUUAGGUGUAAACAAAUCCACUUGGAUCAGGGAUUCAGAAGGUAGUGUGACAAAUUUAAAGAGCGGAGAAGAUGAGCUUGGCGGUUGUCUUAGCUAUGUUGGCUUAGGAAAAAACUGGGCAGCAGAGCACAGGUACCAGGGAGCUAUAGCAUUCUCUUUUCUUUCAGUACAUGCCUGUUCACUUUAAAACCCAGCUCCCUUUUGUAAUACAUUGUAUUAAAGCUCAAGACUAAAAUAAAUGUUAUUAUUUUG